rnacentral:rRNA from 1 species
CCUACGGGAGGCUGCAGUGAGGAAUAUUGGUCAAUGGGCGAGAGCCUGAACCAGCCAAGUCGCGUGAGGGAGUACUGCCCUAUGGGUUGUAAACCUCUUUUGUCGGGGAGCAAAAGCCGGACGUGUCCGGCUGUGAGAGUACCCGAAGAAAAAGCAUCGGCUAACUCCGUGCCAGCAGCCGCGGUACUACGGGGGAUGCGAGCGUUAUCCGGAUUUAUUGGGUUUAAAGGGUGCGCAGGCGGAUUUUUAAGUCAGCGGUAAAAUCGUGGGGCUCAACCCCAUCCAGCCGUUGAAACUGGGGAUCUAGAGUGUGCGAGAGGUAUGCGGAAUGCGUGGUGUAGCGGUGAAAUGCAUAGAUAUCACGCAGAACCCCGAUUGCGAAGGCAGCAUACCGGUGCACAACUGACGCUCAGGCACGAAAGCGUGGGUAUCGAACAGGAUUAGAUACCCUUGUAGUC